CGUCCUCCAAAAGAUCGACUUUUUCCAUUGUGUUCAUCAUCUUCAUCAUCAUCAUCAUCAUCAUGGUUUCAGGAUGAAAAGGAGGAUCCAAGAAGAAGAAGAACAAGUGAGUUUUUUUUUUCUUCUUCUUCUUCUCCUUGAUGAAAGAUCAGCUCAUAGGAAUAUGAGUAUUUCUAUUUACAGGUAAAGUGAAUUCCAUGGUUAUUAGAAGAAAAAAUUCUUAUGAUUUCAUUUGAAAUUCUAAUUUGAUGACCAAGGCCCAAGAAAAAACUCUUCUCUAUUCUUGGUUAUCAUCAACAGGAUAAUCGCUGGUUAAUCAUUGGAGAUGAUGAAUUGUGAUAAUUUAGAAAAUUUAUCAACCUGUUGGCUCCUUAAUCAGGUAAUCGAUUUAUUCUUACCCUUUCCAUGAAAAUAACAAGAAAUUUGAAUGGUUGAAAUUCGUUGAAUUCAGUUAAUUUAAUUAAUCUCUUGAUUGAUCAUAUGUUGAAUUUUGUUUACCUUUUAAAAUUGUAGAGAAAUCUUCAUCUGGUUCAUUCAUGGGGCUCAUUUAUCGUAUCGUUCAGCUGAAUUAAUGAUUAUUCUCAUUGGAAAUUGAUAAGAAUAAAAUUGCAAUAAUAAUAUGAUAGAACUGAAUUUAUCUAUUUUGAUAGAUAACCAAUCAAUUGAAACUCUCACGGUGAUCAAACUAAUUACGGAAUGAUUUACAAUCUCAGGUAAAGUGCUAGAUAUUUUGUUGAUCAUCAUCAGCAACAAUCAAGUGAAUCAAAUUUAGUGAUUUGAUUGAUUGUCCAAGAAAAUGUCUAAUUGAGUAAAAAGCAAUAACAGUAAAUGAAAUAAUCCAAUUGCGUGGGUUUUUAGAGUUUACAACAGUAAAGAUCAUAUAAAAAGUAAGAAAAAGAGUUUAAAUUGUUGUUAAUUCCGGAAAUUUGGUGUUUCUCUAAUCAUCCAGAGUAAUAUACUUUUCCAAGAGUUGGUUAAUUUAAUGGACAAUUAACUAAUUAACCGGGGAAAAAAACGAAACGAAAUCCAGUUAACCAAAACGUUUGAAGAUGCGGAGAUAAUGUUAAUCCAAUUUGAUUAUUUUACAGAUUAACAAUUUAAAAUGAGAAAAUUAAUCAUUCAAGGAUAUUAAUUAAUGUUCUCAAUCGACUAAUCAACUCUAAUUCUGUGUAAUUUGACUCCAAUUUUAAUUGUUAUCAAUUGAAUUGAGUGAAAGUAAGAAAACGUUAGUUUCGUCAUUAGUUUUAAUUGUUUCGUUUUCUUUUUGAUUAUUCUUAGACCUGUCGAAGUAUUUAAAUUAGAAUCCAUUCUAAUUGUUGAUUAGAAGACAAUUAAUUUAGCAAAGUAACAAAAAAAGACAAACAUUUGAUACUUGAUUGAAAAUAAAAGUGACAAUUGAUUGAUUGUUUAUUGUUAACAAUUUAAUCCAAAUUUAAUCAAAAGUUAAAUUAAAAGUUCAUGUGACAGUUGUGUAGGCUUUUUAAUUGUUCAAUUUAAUCAAAAAUACUACUAAUUGUAACAAAAAUCUUCUUCUCUAUUGAUAAACUCUUUUAAUUGUUCAACUUUUCUGCGUUUUAAUUGUUCAAUUAUAAUCAAAGAAUUUACCUUGAGAAAUGUUAAUUUUACGACAAUCAACUAAUUAGAAACAGUUUUUCCCUUUUCCAAUAUAAUUCACAUUUGCA